GCUUCUCAUUGAGGGGUGGUAGUGGGUCCUGAAACCAGACCAGUUGAGAACCAUUGCUUUAAAAUUCAAAUGUCAGUGUCUCGAUUAA